rnacentral:lncRNA from 1 species
GCUGUCUAUAAUAUGGUAAAAUUAGUCGUAUAUGUUAUAUAUUAUAUAUGCUGUAUUUGAAUAAAUUAUGGAUGGUCUAGCUUUUCUAUCUUAUAAAUCAUAAAGCUUUAUAUAAUUUCAUUGGUGUGUCAUAGUAUUCGAAAAGAUUGACUGUCUAACCAAAUUCAUAACAUGCUAUCAGCAAGGAUGUAGGAUGUGUCCAUAGGGCACAAAGGACCUUUCACACCAUUACAAUUCAUGUUUAGUUAACCAUGGAAACUUGGUUAAAACCAAAAUUUGAAAUAUUCUCUUUAAAGUAAAUAUAAAAAUAAACAUAUAUAUGUAAUAAGUUUCAAGGUAAUAUGACCACAACUUCCUGGUAAUCUCCUGUUACCAAACUGUAUCCAGAUACAAUUACUAUGUAUGGUAGGAAAAUAAUAAAAAAUAUAACAUAUAAAAAAUAUAACAAAGUAUGCAUGCAUCUAAGAAGUAGGUCAUCUUGACCGAAUUGUAUAAAAAAAUUAAACACUUAUAAUUUUAAAACAAUAAGACAAAUCAUGGUCUAAAAUU